UUCGCCUGUUUAUCAAAAACAUAGCUAUAUGAUAUUUAUAUUUAGUGUUUUCUGCUCAAUGAUUAUUUAAAUGGCCGCAGUACCCUGACUGUGCAAAGGUAGCAUAAUCAAUUGGCUCAUAAUUGGAGUCUGGCAUGAAUGAAAGAAUAGGAAGUGACUGUUUCUUAAAAAUUAUUAAAAAUUGAUUAGAAAGUGAAAAUGCUUUCAUGUAAUAUAUUAGACGAGAAGACCCUAGAAAUUUUUUGUUAAAUUACGUUAACAUUUUGUUGGGGCGACAGAGUAACAAGCAUUUAACUUACUUGGUUUAUUUGAAGUAUCUAUACAGUAAAAGAAAAUUACUCUAGGGAUAACAGCGUAAUUUUAACUAAGUUUGCGACCUCGAUGUUGGAUUAGGAAAAUAUUAAGUUUAGAAGAUAUAUA
rnacentral:rRNA from 1 species